rnacentral:rRNA from 1 species
AUGGCCGCAGCCACACCCCACUCGCCGCCGCCGCAGCUUUCAUCGCCCUUCCUGGAGUAUAUUACGGCCCCCGGCGGCCUCGACAAGGUCGUGCUCCGUGGCAGGCGCAGCUGCUCCGUGGAGAUCCGUCUUUUUGGAGGUCAAGUAACUUCAUGGAAGAAUGACCAUGGCGAGGAGUUGCUUUUUGUCAGCAGCAAGGCCAUCAAGCCUCCAAAACCGUUUCGUGGCGGGAUACCUAUUUGCUUUCCCCAGUUUGGAACUCAGGGAAAUCUUGAGCAACAUGGAUUUGCAAGAAAUCGGCUUUGGGCUAUUGAUGAUAAUCCACCCCCUUUACCAGUAAAUCCUGCAAUUAAAGCUUUUGUUGAUCUUAUUCUGAAGCCUAGUGAAGAUGAUUUAAAGAUGUGGCCACACAGUUUCGAGUUUCGCUUGAGAAUUGCUCUUGGUGCUGGUGGAGAUUUGAGUCUCACGUCUCGAAUCAGGAAUACCAACACUGAUGGAAGACCUUUUUCUUAUACAUUUGCAUAUCACACAUACUUCUCUGUUUCUGACAUAAGUGAAGUACGUGUCGAAGGGCUGGAAACAAUGGACUACCUUGACAACAUGAAGGGAAAGGAGCGUUUCACAGAGCAAGGAGAUGCUAUUGUAUUCGAAUCAGAAGUUGAUAAGGUAUAUCUUGCUGCACCCUCGAAAGUUGCAAUUAUUGAUCAUGACAUGAGAAGAACAUUCGUCGUGACAAAAGAAGGACUUCCAGAUGCUGUUGUUUGGAACCCUUGGGAUAAGAAGGCAAAAGCUAUGCAAGAUUUUGGGGAUUUAGAAUACAAGCACAUGCUUUGUGUGGAGCCUGCAGCCGUUGAGAAGCCAAUUACCCUCAAGCCUGGUGAAGAGUGGAAAGGAAGGCUUGGGCUCUCCGCUGUUCCUUCCAGCUACUGUAGUGGGCAGUUAGAUCCAUUAAAGGUCCUUCAUGGUUGA